rnacentral:misc_RNA from 1 species
GAAAUGCGAUAAGUAAUGUGAACUGCAGAAUUCAGUGAAUCAUCGAAUCUUUGAACGCACAUUGCGCCCGCCAGUAUUCUGGCGGGCAUGCCUGUCCGAGCGUCAUUUCAACCAUCAAGCCCCCGGGCUUGUGUUGGGGACCUGCGGCUGCCCGCAGGCCCUGAAAACCAGUGGCGGGCUCGCUGUCACACCGAGCGUAGUAGCAAUCACCUCGCUCAGGGCGUGCUGCGGGUUCCGGCCGUUAAACAGCCUUACAAAACCCAAGGUUGACCUCGGAUCAGGUAGGAAGACCCGCUGAACUUAAGC